UAUGAAAACCCCACCUGUAUAGGAGAAUACAUUUUUUAUGGAUUUUUCUAGACAUGAUAUAUCCAUGACUUGCCGAGUUUUGGAUUAGCCUUUGUAUUCAUUUUCUAUGGCUGCAUAACAAAUUACCACAAAACUAGGAGAGCAAAACAACACAAAUUUAUUAUCUCACAGUUUCCAUGGGUUGAGAGCCCAGUGUGAACUGGAUUCUCAGCUCAGGGUUCCACAAGGCUGAAAUCAAGGUGCUGGCCAGCUGCAUCCUCAUCAGGAGGCUCAACUAGGGAAAGAUCUGCUUCCAAGGACCCUCAAUGUGUUGGCAAAAUUCAUUCCUUUGUGGCCAUAUGACUAAACUCCUUACAGGAGAGUCUCUCUUCCAGUUCAAAUUUCUUCUAAUCUCUUUUAAGUACUCACUUGAUUCGGUCAGGCCGACUCAAGUUAAUCUCUCUUUUUAUUAAUUCAAUGUCUGCUGAUUAGGGACCUUAAUUACAUCUGCAAAAUCUCUUCUGCGAUAUUACAUAAUAUAAUCAUGUGAGUGAUGCAUAGCCCAUCAUAUUUACAAGUCUUGUUCACGCUGAAAGAGGGCAUAAUACAGGGCAUGAACACGAAGGGGUGGGAAUAUUGGAGGUCAUCCUAGAAUUCUGCCUACUUUUGCCCUUUACUCAUUGCGUCCCUGUUUCUGUUGAGGAAAAUACUCCAUUUUCAAGACUGUUAUAAGGCCUAUAUAUGCACUUUUCAUUCAUUAAAGAAAAGUAUCACCAUGC
rnacentral:lncRNA from 1 species